rnacentral:rRNA from 1 species
AUUGAACGCUGGCGGCAGGCUUAACACAUGCAAGUCGAGCGGGGAAAGGUAGCUUGCUACCGGACCUAGCGGCGGACGGGUGAGUAAUGCUUAGGAAUCUGCCUAUUAGUGGGGGACAACAGUUGGAAACGGCUGCUAAUACCGCAUACGCCCUACGGGGGAAAGCAGGGGAUCUUCGGACCUUGCGCUAAUAGAUGAGCCUAAGUCGGAUUAGCUAGUUGGUGGGGUAAAGGCCUACCAAGGCGACGAUCUGUAGCGGGUCUGAGAGGAUGAUCCGCCACACUGGGACUGAGACACGGCCCAGACUCCUACGGGUGGCUG